GAUGAAGUUCCUUCGGGAAUGGAUUAGUGGCGAACGGGUGAGGAACACGUGAGAAACCUGCCUUUCAUUCUGGGAUAACACCGGGAAACCGGCGCUAAUACCGGAUACUCCAUCUUGGCGGCAUCGCCGAGCUGGGAAAAAAUUUUGAUGAAAGAUGGUCUCGCGGCCUAUCAGCUAGUUGGUGAGGCAAAGGCUCACCAAGGCGACGACGGGUAGCCGGCCUGAGAGGGCGACCGGCCACACUGGGACUGAGGCACGGCCCAGACUCCUACGGGAGGCAGCAGUAGGGAAUAUUGGGCAAUGGGCGAAAGCCUGACCCAGCGACGCCGCGUGAGGGAUGAAGGUCUUCGGAUUGUAAACCUCUUUCAGUAGGGAAGAAGCGAAAGUGACGGUACCUAAAGAAGAAGCACCGGCUAACUAUGUGCCAGCAGCCGCGGUAAUACAUAGGGUGCAAGCGUUGUCCGGAAUUAUUGGGCGUAAAGAGCUCGUAGGUCGUUUGUCGCGUCGAUUGUGAAAAUCUGAGGCUCAACCUCAGACCUGCAGUCGAUACGGGCAAACUAGAGUGUGGUAGGGGAGACUGGAAUUCCUGGUGUAGCGGUGGAAUGCGCAGAUAUCAGGAGGAACACCAAUGGCGAAGGCAGGUCUCUGGGCCAUAACUGACACUGAGGAGCGAAAGUGCGGGGAGCGAACAGGAUUAGAUACCCUGGUAGUCCGCACCGUAAACGGUGGGCACUAGUUGUGGGAACCUUCCACGGUUUCCGCGACGCAGCAAACGCAUUAAGUGCCCCGCCUGGGGAGUACGAUCGNCAGAUUNAAACUCAA
rnacentral:rRNA from 1 species